rnacentral:rRNA from 1 species
GUAGUAAAUUUAGCCUAUUUUACCUUAAUAAUUAAUAACACUUUAAAACUAAAUAAUAAAACAUUUUAUCAUUUUAAUAUAGGAGAUAGAAAAAUUCAUUAGCGCAAUAUAAAUAGUACUGUAAAGGAAAAAUGAAAUAGAAAUUAAAUAAAUCAUAAAAACAAUAAAAAGCAAAGAUUUAACCUUUUACCUUUUGCAUCAUGGUCUAGUAAGUUUAACCUAACGCAAAGAACUUAAGUUAGACACCCCGAAACUAAACGAGCUACUACGAAGCAGCAGAACGAGCCAACCCUUCUCUGUGGCAAAAGAGUGGGAUGACUUCCUAGUAGUGGUGAUAAACCUAACGAGUUUAGUAAUAGCUGGUUACUUAAUAAAUGAACUUAAAUUCAACUUAAAAUAUCUUUUAACAAGUAAAGUAAAAAAUAAUAUUUUAAAGUUAAUUAAUAGGGGUUCAGCUCUAUUAAUAAAGGAUACAACCUAAAAUAAUGAAUAAUGAUUAUAUUAAUUAAAGAAAUUAAUUAUGUGGGCCUAAAAGCAGCAAUCAACUACAAAAGCGUUAAAGCUUAAUUUAAUAAAUCUUAUUAUAACAAUAAAUAAUCUUAAUUCAUCAUAACUAUUAAGUUAAUCUAUAUAAAUAGAUGAAAUUAUACUAGAAUGAGUAAUAAGAAAAUAUUCUCUUAGUGCAAGUGUAAAUCAGAACGAAUAUUUCUCUGAUAAUUAACGAACCUAUUGAGGGGAUAAUAUUAUUUUACAAGAAAAAUCUAUUUUACCCAUCGUUAACCCAACACAGGAGCACAUUAGAAAGAUUAAAAAUAUAGGAAGGAACUCGGCAAACACGAACUUCGCCUGUUUACCAAAAACAUCGCCUCUUGCAAUUAAGGUAUAAGAGGUCCUGCCUGCCCAGUGACACCAAGUUUAACGGCCGCGGUAUUAUGACCGUGCAAAGGUAGCGUAAUCACUUGUCUUCUAAAUAAAGACCAGUAUGAAUGGCAAGACGAAAGUUCAACUGUCUCCCUAAAUUAAUCAUUGAAAUUGAUUUUUCCGUGCAGAAGCGGAAAUAUAAAUAUAAGACGAGAAGACCCUAUGGAGCUUUAA